CCUAAUAUGCCAAAGGGAAUUCUACAUUCUCUAGGCCAACUGCCUUCCCACUUUGAAUACAUUUUUGAAUGAUGCUUUGGUAGUUGUAAGCCCACCAUUUUACAACACAGCUUUUAGCUUGGAACAUCCCUGGCUCAAGAGCGGUCCACAGAACAGGCAACCUACUCCUGUAGAGCAGCCAUUAUUCCAGACCUUUUAAGACAGUCCUCCAAAUAAAUUUACCGAAUUAUUAGUUCACACUAUUUUCCCCACUAGCUUUGCUGCCCACACAUGUCAAUGUUAAUGAUGUUUGGCUGAAAAGAAAAUAAGAACCACUUUACAAAAGCUUCCCUGCCUGAUCACUUGGAAGCAAUUCAUACCCAUCAUGGGUGCCUAGUUGAGUGGCUAUUUUUAAAAAACCCUGCUUUUAACUUAUCACUCCCACCUUCUCUGCAUGCCAUGCAGUUGGUAACUUACCCAUAAAUCCCCUCACAGCUUGGUGAGAAAUGCUGACAAGAGUGAUUUGGCGUGAUGCUAGCACAUCAUCAUCUCUUCCAUCAACUCCUUGUUCCAGUAACACUUUACUCUUAGGUUUCUCUCUCCUCUCACCCACUUCCAAACAUAACUGACUGAGCUAAGCUUUCUCCAAAGAAGUAUGCCAAAAUACCAUGAAUCGAACUCACUGCACCGCAUUCAUCAUGAAAAUUAUCACUCUUUACUGGAUCAAUGAAUGGGGCGGCAAAGUAUACGAAAAGGGCCUCUAUUUUGUUUUCUACCUCUUUCCACCUCAAAGGCUCUAAGUUUUCAAAAGUAAACUUACACAUUCCACAA